GGGGCCCCCCGCCCACCUCUCCCGGCCGUGGCUUCUGUGUGUUCUUUCUGGGACGCCGUUUGUGUUCUUGUUUCUAUGUUCACUUCUUAAAACAUCUCCACUCUUCCGCAUCAGAAUGUAGGUAACCUCCCGCAGGCCAGGGCCGCGUCUGUCCUGCCCAGCCUUGUGUGGCCGAGUUUGGGGCGAGCUCGAAUGCGCGCGCGCAUGCUGGAAAGAGACCCCGGUACUGGGACGGGCCUCGGGACACAACUGGGAUGCACCGCUCCAUCUGGGAAGGCUUCCUGGAGAAAACGGUUCUUAAGGAGAGAUGGAAAAUGUGAGCAGGAGUUGUGACUAGAGAGGGAAUCGUGUUCUAGGCAGAGACCAGAUUUGUGCAAAGGCCUGGAGGUCAGUGAAGAGGCGCAACUCUUGGCAGAAAGAACCACUUCACAUUGGAGAAUAUAAACGGGAAACUUGAAAACAUGGGAAUCAUCCAAUUUUUACCCUCAACUAGGGUCAUGAUUGACAUUUGGAGCCGCACGUUUCUCCAUUGCAUGUGACAUAGAGCUUCUGGUCCCCAAGCCUGUGAAAACCAAAAACCACCACACACAUUUCCAAAUGUCCCCAACUCCCACCCCGCACUUGCCCUACUCCUCAAAGAUCAGUAAAUGCGACUCAGUCCUGUGAAAGUAA